GGAUUUUAAAAAUUAUUCGCUAGAAAAAAGACCACGAACUUUGGAGUGGACAUCCUGAGACCUGCCUAAGAAAACCAUUAGGGUAAAGAAGUCACCCCUUCACCCCAGGACCAGGAAGCCUCCAGGAUGGCAUAAGCGACCAAACAGCUGGGAGCCAAGCACAGUGCAGGGGGCUUGGGGGCGGCGGCCGGAGGCUGGGGUGGUGGCCUCCAGAAGACACUCCCCUGAUUCCUACACCGAGGGAACACAUAUCAGCAAGCUAGGAAGGGAGGGGUGACCCAGCCCAACGCUCUAAACCAGGGCGCGAACCGGCGUUGAGCUGUGCAGCCGCGCCCUGGGCUCCAGUCCUCCCCUGCUGCAGACCCCACCGGAGCCAGCACCUGCCUCCCAGACCCUCGCUGGGGCGGCUGUGAGAUGAGCUCAGAGCCUUCCUGAGCCAACCCUCGCAAGGAAAGUCUGUCUGUUCACCCCACUAUCCUUGUCUUGAAGGAUGAAGAAAAGAGGGCCCCCCGGUUGGUCCCAAAAGGUGGAAUGGACAUCUGGGAUCCAAGCAUAGCAAUUUCUUUAUUUUUCUUAA
rnacentral:antisense_RNA from 1 species